rnacentral:tRNA from 1 species
GCCACCCUAGCUCAGUUGGUAGAGCAGCUGAUUCGUAAUCAGCAGGUCGGCAGUUCAAGUCUGCUGGGUGGCU